AAACACUUUUUGUUGAGUAGGAUGGUAAAAGUAAUAUUCUAUACUCUCCUUGGGAUAACCCACAAAUCUGUAUUUUUCUAAUCUAGCAUGCAGCUUAUGCCCAUCAAUAUUUUUCAGAUAAGUCGGACAACCCCAAAUCUUAAGAUGCUUAAGAGAGGAUCUUUUCUCUUUUCAUAUUUCAUAUGAAGUGCUAGAAAUAUAUUUAGAAGGUACUUUAUGUA
rnacentral:lncRNA from 1 species